AUGGAUUUGUUUUGGUGUUCAUGGAGAGGCAGAUCUGGCUUUACUUUUGUCUUCUUAUGUGUGUUGUUCUUCAAUUUUGCAGGAAGUGCUCAUGUAUCAAAUUCCAGUUGUUACUCAACCUGUAGUGGAUUCCAUUUGCUGAAGAUAUCGUCCAUUGUCACCAGUGCAUCCUUCUAUCUGGCCUUCACUGAUCAGUGCUGCUGUGUGAAUUUGUGCCGCUGUGUCGAAUUGGGCGGAGGCUUCCCUGUCAAGAAGGUGCAGAGAAGCGCGGAGGACAGCUCGGUGGUAGAGGCGACGUACGAGGGUGAGCACAACCACCCGCGCCCCAUGGGGGCGGCGAGCCGAGCUUGCGCAACGCGGGGCAGAGGCUUGGUGUUGUGCUCCAUCUCCAUCAACUCCUCCGGCCCAACCACUAUGCUGGACCUCACCAAGAACGGGGGAGGCGUGCAGGUCGUCGAGGCAGGGGAGGCGCAACUGGACCUGAAGAAGGUGUGCCGGGAGGUCGCGUCGCCAGAGUUCUGGGCGGCUUUGGUGCUCCGUCCAAGGAGUCAAACCUCAUCCGCACCGCCUGCUUCUGCUUUGGGUGCGAGCGCCCAGAGAUCGUCAGGUAUCUGUCAAGAUGGGAUAUUCAGGUCGCUCUGCGUAGUGGGUGCCUCAUCAUUUACAGGAAAGUUAUUAAUUCUAGGAAGCGAUUGCGUGCUCAUGUAG
rnacentral:rRNA from 1 species